UACGUAGGGUGCGAGCGUUAAUCGGAAUUACUGGGCGGAAAGCGUGCGUAGACGGUUAUGUAAGUCAGAUGUGAAAGCCCCGGGCUUAACCUGGGAAUGGCAUUUGAGACUGCAUAGCUAGGGUGCGGAAGAGGGAAGCGGAAUUUCCGGUGUAGCGGUGAAAUGCGUAGAUAUCGGAAGGAACACCAGUGGCGAAAGCGGCUUCCUGGUCCAGCACCGACGUUCAGGCACGAAAGCGUGGGGAGCAAACAGG
rnacentral:rRNA from 1 species